CUUUUGUUCCCAGCUGCUUGGGAGGCUGAGGAAGGAGGAUCACUUGAGUCUGGGAGGUGGAGGAUGCGGUGAGCCAUGCAUCUGUUCACACUGCUGCACUCCAGCCUGGGAACAGAACAAGACCUCAUCAAAAAAAAAAAAGAAGAAGAAGAAGAAGAAAAGAAAAGCCAUAGUAUUCUGCCCUCGAGGGGCAGGGUGAGAAGGCAGGUGGCAGUGAAGGAGCAGCAUUCAUUACAUUCAUUCCUCCCUCCAUCCAUUCAUUCUGCUGCUGAUAUGCAUGGAUGCCUCCAUAGGACAGCAGCGUGCUGGGAUCUGAGGGUUCAGUAAGACAGGCCCCUUUCUCUGCAGAGCUCACACUGAUGCAGGCCUGAAAGGUGAGGACAUAAAAGUGGUGUUUUGACACAAUUCCAAUUCUGUCAGUGAGUUUGGCCCCAGCUUAGCCAGUCACCCUGUCUUGUUCUUGGUGCCCACUGGGCCAAAUGCGAGGGUGAGGAGCAAGAAGCUGCGAGGUGUGGAGUGGUCUGGAGAAGGAGUAGAGGUGGAGGAUGGGUGCUCUCCAUCUCCUGUAGGCCUUCUGAGCUUAGGGUGUCUCCCACCUGCCCUAUCUCCUUGUUGGGUGAGCUGGGGUUGACUCCCAGAAGUCAAAGGGCUCCUGCGCAGAAGGCAGAACUGGAGCAGAGGGCUUGGCUCCUCCCUGUACCCUGUGCGCCCAGUGUGGGGGCCUUGGGGGACCCAGACGGGGAAGGCUAGUGCACAGGUACUUCACCUCUGAGGUGGGGACAGAAGGGUUUUAGGAUUAACAUCUGCCGACCACCAGAGGCCGGUGUUGGGACAUGCAGGUGACCCAGAAAACCGCCUCUGCCCGGGGACAGUACACAGAGCGUAGCCUCCCUCAACCCAGGCUUCUGUGUCACACAGGCUUCCUUUCCUUUUCUGAUAUGUCAAGCCUUAACCUCUUAGAACCUUGUGGGCAGGAGCAGCACUGGACAGCCGUGUGGCCAGCCAGGAUCCUGCUCUAGGACUUUUUUUUUGGAAAUACCUGCAUCAGCCACUAGAGGGAGGUAGGAAGCUGAGAUCUUGGGUCCAUAGGUGAGCAAUGAAUUGUUACAAAAGGGCUACAGAAAUUGCUCUGUGUAUUAGAAAUAAACUGCAAUUGGGUGAAGAGAGAGGGGGAACUGGCAAGAUGGCACAAAGCUGCAGACAGAAUGGAAAGGGGGUGAAGAAGAAGAAGUUCUAUCACUGUAGCGUGACCACAGGACUUCAAGAAUAGGAGCACUAGCGCUCACUUUGAAGUUGCUUCUGCCACAGGCAGAUCCGGGUGAUGGUCAGCUUGGCUGUGUGAAUGGGACUCAGUGGAAAGGACUGCCUUCUGUGGGGUGCAGAACAGGGGCAUUACUUUUUGAAUGUCCUGAUGAGCCACACACAGAUCUAACCAUGCUGUAUCAGGAGAGAGUCAGUGCUAGUCAUGCACAGUCAUGCACAAGGGAACUUGCAAACACCCUGGCAAAAGCUUUCCACUUGCACGUGAGCAAAUAGGAGCUUGAGCCUGUCGUCCAGGUCUUAGGAGCCUGAGAGAGCCUGACUGAUGUCUGUGUUACACAAGAGGGGUCUAGGGCCACGAGGCAGCAAGUUAGGAGGAAGAACGUGGGAAUCCCAGGUCCAGGGAGCCCCCGCCACCUGCAAACAAAAAAUAGGGAAGGAAGGCUUUCCCAGCAGAAGGUAAAAUUUGGGUCUGGAUUCUGAGGAGAGAGAAGCAGCUGCAUAGAGGUGGGAGAAGAGAGAGAUCAGAUGCCCACUACAAUGCCCUGCACUGUAGGAUUCUGUCUUCUCCUCCAGCCCACCCUGCACCAUUCACCCUGUAUAACCAUGUCACUCACCAUGGAGCAAUAGCAUCCUAACUUGUUUCUCUGGUCGAACAUUACAACCUAAUCUGUGCCCACACAAAAGCUAGAGAUCUUUUAAAAAUGUAAGUUGCCGGGUGCAGUGGCACACACCUGUAAUCCCAGCACUUUGGGAGGCCAACAUAGGCAGAUUGCUUGAGCCCAGAAGUUUGAGACCAGCCUAGGAAACAUGGAGAAAUCCCAUCUCUACAAAAAAUACAAAAAUUAGCCUGGCGUGGUGGCACAUGCCUAUAGUGCCAGCUACCCAGGAGACUGAGAUGGGAGGAUCACCUGAGCCCAGGAGGUUGACGCUGCAGUGAGCUGUGAUGGUGCCACUGCAAUCCAGCCUGGAUGACAGAGUGAGACCCUGUCUCAAAAAAAAAAGUAAGUCAUCUGACCCUCCUCUGCUUUAAACCCUCAGGGACUUCCCAUUACUAGAAUGAAAUGCAAAGUCCUUUCUCUGGCCUGCAUGAGUCUGCAUGAGCCCUCUCUUCCCUCCCUAGCCUCAUCUCCUACCUCCCUGCUAAUGUGCUCCAGCCAUCUGUCUUCCUGCUGUUCUUCAACCACACCAACUUCAUUCCUGCUACUAUACUUUCACACUUGCUGUCCCUCUGUUUAACUAUCGCCAGCCCCCAGGCUUUCACAUAGAUGGCUCCUUUUCAUCAUUUAGCUCUCAAAUGUCACCUUGUCAGACAUAUAAAGUGGCCCUCUCUCCCUGGCACUUCCUGAAUCUCCCUGGAUCACGUUAGUCCCUAGCCCUU
rnacentral:lncRNA from 1 species